UACGUAGGUGGCAAGCGUUGUCCGGAAUUAUUGGGCGUAAAGCGCGCGCAGGCGGUCCUUUAAGUCUGAUGUGAAAGCCCACGGCUCAACCGUGGAGGGUCAUUGGAAACUGGGGGACUUGAGUACAGAAGAGAAGAGUGGAAUUCCACGUGUAGCGGUGAAAUGCGCAGAUAUCUGGAGGAAUACCGGUGGCGAAGGCGGCAUCCUGGACCGGCAUUGACGCGUGAGGAGCGAAAGCCAGGGAGCAAACGGG
rnacentral:rRNA from 1 species